AGAUAAUCGAAACUUUGAACAAGUUAGCUACAUUUCAGAAUAUACUGACAGAUUUCAAAAGCAUUUGUUCUUCCAAAGCUUUUCAGCUUGUUAAUGACCAACUUCAGAAGUCUCAAGCAGAGUUGGAUGAUCACAAAUCAUUGUUAGAAAAAUUACAGGUUGAUAUGGAUAGCUUUGUUUGGCAAGAAACGCAAUUUAAUAAAAAAAAAUUGAUCUGGCUGAAAUACCCAAGAUGGUUUUUGCAUACUAUGUUUCUAGGAUGGCUAAUCUUGAGAAGGAUG